ensembl:lncRNA
GUUGAUCAGGGCCCUAUUCCCUAUAUAGUACACUACUGUUGACCAGGGCCCUAUUCCCUAUAUAGUACACUAAUUUUGAUCAGAGGCCUAUUCCCUAUAUAGUGCACUAAUUUUGAUCAGAGGCCUGUGAGGAAUAGGGGGCCAAUUGGGACGCAGACUGUAUGUGAAACUGAUCAGUUUUUAAAUGUUUCUGCGGUUCUUAUUGGUUGUCUGAUUCUCUGACCAUGUCUGUGGUUGUUAUGGUUACCGUCUGAUCCAGUUCAUACAGACUGUUUUGGUUGUUGUUUCUUUGUUCUGUUUAUCUCUCUCUCUUUUUGUGGUUUAACUGUCUGUGGUCAGGUUCUGGCCAAUCAGAUGGGUCCGUGGUCAGGUUCUGGCCAAUCAGAUGGGUCAGGUUCUGGCCAAUCAGAUGGGUCAGGUUCUGGCCAAUCAGAUGGGUCAGGUUCUGGCCAAUCAGAUGGGUCAGGUUCUGGCCAAUCAGAUGGGUCCGGGGUCAGGUUCUGGCCAAUCAGAUGGGUCCGGGUCGGGGUCAGGGGUCAGGUUCUGGCCAAUCAGAUGGUCCGGGGUCAGGUUCUGGCCAAUCAGAUGGGUCCGGGGUCAGGUUCUGGCCAAUCAGAUGGGUCCGUGGUCAGGUUCUGGCCAAUCAGAUGGGUCCGUGGUCAGGUUCUGGCCAAUCAGAUGGGUCCGUGGUCAGGUUCUGGCCAAUCAGAUGGGUCCGUGGUCAGGUUCUGGCCAAUCAGAUGGGUCCGUGGUCAGGUUCUGGCCAAUCAGAUGGGUCCGUGGUCAGGUUCUGGCCAAUCAGAUGGGUCCGUGGUCAGGUUCUGGCCAAUCAGAUGGGUCCGUGGUCAGGUUCUGGCCAAUCAGAUGGGUCCGUGGUCAGGUUCUGGCCAAUCAGAUGGGUCCGUGGUCAGGUUCUGGCCAAUCAGAUGGGUCCGUGGUCAAUCAGAUGGGUCCGUGGUCAGGUUCUGGCCAAUCAGAUGGGUCUGUGGUGGUGUUGUGACUACUGCUGUCUAACUCCUCCUGGAGGACCCCUGGUGUUUCUGAUAGUUUAACUUCCGUCCGGGAUUCAAUCAAAGGCGCAUUGUGGAUUAUGAGCAAACCAAACUAGACUGUUCAAUCAAAUGUUCAGCUGACAUCCGCAGCGUUUACCAUGACAACCAGAGGAAUGAGCUGGUUAACGGUGCGACGUGGUCAGUGCACCUUUAGGUUGAAUCCCAGCCGUCUCAUUCAGACCUGGGACACCAAAUCAUGUAUCAAUUACAUGUCCCAAAAUGGCACCCUAUUCCCUAUAUAGUCCCCUACCUU